UCACAUUGUAUUAGGUAUUAUAAGUAAUCUAGAGAUGAUUUAAGGCUUACAGAAAGAAGUGCAGAGGUUGUAUGUAAACACCAUGCCAUUUUAUAUAAGAAAAUUGAGCAUCUGUCAAUUUUGGUAUCCGUGAGGGUCCUGGAAGCAAUCCCCUACGGAUACAGAGGGACCAGUGUAAUGGGUAGAGACCAGGCUGGCUGCUAAAUAUUCUAGAAUGCACAAGACAAAGAAUUAUCUGGCUCAAAAUAUCAACAGUGACAAGGCUGAGAAACCCUCGUAUAGAUUAAACCAAGCUGGAGUCUGCAUGCUAGCAAGGAGUGUCAUGGUGUCUUCUCCCUUCUCCAAAUAAUGUAAAAUAACUUUUAUUAUGUACCAUGUUCUUUUCUUAAACUUUUUUUUUUUACUUAUUCCCCUAUUCCAUACAAUUAUAUUAUAAUAGAAAUAAAAGAUCUUUGCCUUUAAAGUUAGAGUAGAAGCAGGACCUGGCAUAGGCUUCUACCAAAGGCUUUCUUUUUUUUGCAAUCUGAAUUUUUCCCUUUCUCUAUGCAUGAUCUUCUGAGAUAGUCUACACAGAUGUCUUAUGUGGCCUUAUACCUUAGACAAAUGAAAAAUUCUUCCUUUUGGGAAGGCAAAUUUGCUUCUAUAACUUUUUCUCCUCUGCUUUUGUGAGUAUGAGAGAGUUUCUCUACUACAAGACUGUAGGAUAAAAGUUGGUAUAACAAAAAUAAAGAUUGAAAAGAUAAAAUGACAACCAAAAAACAAUGACAAAAUUGGAAUUCAGGAAUAAUCUUCACUUUGGCAAUAUGGCUAAAUAUAACUUGGGUUAGGGAUCUCUUGGGUUAGGAAUCUUUUUGUGUGAUAUAUUAUUUUGAAUUUAUAGAGCAUUGGUUUUUAACAAGUUUUUAUCAUUUUUAACAGGUUUUUAUCAUUUAAAAGGUGACUAGGGCAAUGGGAUUACCUCUGAUAUCAGAGAGUUGGCAAUCAUGUAACCCUGAAAGUCAUGGCACAAUAUGGCAGAACAAGCACGUCUGGGGCCUGGGAGUCCUGAGGUACUCUAGUAAUUGUGGUUUUCCUCAUACUCUCUGGAUCUGGGGUGACCCAGAACACAGUCAUAAUUCUUGAACUGUUUGCAAGUGCAAACCUUGAGAUCUUCCCAAGCCAGUCACCCAGUCGAUAAUCAGCUCAAGAUCAUCCCUAUACCCCGAGUAGAAUUAGUUGUCAAUAUUUAGGGCACAAAAUUCAUUUUGGUGAGAUGCCCUAGGCCAUUGACACUAGUCAUAUAAUAAUCUAAUGUGUUUGCUGCAAUGACACAUUGCAGCCCUAUGUCCUCUGAGUUCUGGCUCUAAUGUGGUAUUUCUUUACACUAGCUUUCUCAAUAAUAUGAACAGCCUGCCUAUGAACUGAAAUGUGAAGUAUGAUACCCACUAUUAUAUAUCUUUCCUUACUGCAAGUCCAACUAAUGGUUAUUAAUAUGAACAACUUACCUCCUGCUUGCUUUCAGCUCCCGAAUUUUUAUUGUCUGUACUUUUCCUGUAGUGAAGUAGUUUCAUAGCUCAGCAAAGCCUCAGAAUUUUUUAUGAACAGUCUCUAAAAGGCAGCUAGAUCUAGCUCUAAGACAUCAAGCAAAUGACCCAGGACUUGUUAUUUUUCUUGUUGGUUUCUGCGUAGCUAAGGCAAAGGCUUUUUCUUGGCCUCCACUCAGCAAUAUGCAAAAAGCUGAAGCUUUUAAAGUGGGAGAAGAAACAGAAGGAACAGAGGAGGUAAGCUUUUGUUUCACAAAGAAAUUCCAGCAAGUUACCUAGGGAUACAUUAUUAAUCAACUUCACCUGUUGAUAGUACAGGUUGGUUUAUUGAUAUUCAUUAUGCUUGUUGGUAAAAAUAAAGGGGGAGGGGGAAGGGGAUUGAAUAACGUCAGUUGUCUUACAGUCGUUCUCUGUUUCUACUUUUUGUUUGGAAACUUUAGUACAGUACAUGGCUGUUUCAGUAAUUGUGGUAUGAAAAACAUCUGUGGAGGACAGUUUAACGUGUUUGUCUCUGCAAAGCCCCAUAGCAAAUAACAUGUACAUCAUCAACUCUCUAAUAACUCUUACAGGAGGCCUCUAACUACUGAGCACACAUCAGGGGAAUGAUGUAUGAUUUAAUACCUUGAAAUAGAAAAACAAAAAAAAGGAAGAAAUUCGACCUGCUGGGAGUUUCUCAUUAAAUAUCCAGAGCGCCAGUGACUGCUGUUUCCUAGUUUAGUCAGGAACGUCUUUGUUAAGCAUGUGCUUUGAGUGUUUAACAUUCUGUUCUGCCAGUGAUACCUAAAAAACCCACACUGCAAUCUAAUUUCCCAUAUCUUGUCACUUAUUUCCAAAAUGUGGACAGAGACUCUUGGUGAUCAGAUCUACUCUUUAUUACCAAAAGUCUCAAUUAUAUUAAAUUGCCUCUCUAAAGAUUUUAGGAUCUGGGACAGAACUAGGUACAUAAUUUGCCAGGCACAGUGACAAAUGACAAUAAGGAAUCCUUAUGCAAAGCUUUCAGACGUUUUGAGAUGGCAACAGUAGAGCAUUAAACCAAGUAUGGAGUCCUCCAUGACUGCACAGGUUGCAAACCUGCAAAGCAUGUCUAGGAAGCUGGCAUACCCACAACAGACAACACAUAUCCAGGAAGGCCACUUGGAAAUCAGAAAAGUUAUUCCACACAAGGAAAACCCCAUAAAUAUAAUAUUAUAGUAUUCUUUAUAGUUAUCAAACUUCUGAUGGUAUUUCUCUUUGUGUAUUCAAAAAAUGCUUGAAAAGACCAAUUUCUACCAUUUUUUGUAAUUCUAUGAAGGCAUACUUAAACUAAAUUGUACAUAUUUAAAGCAUAAAACUUAGCAGUUUUCAAUAUAUGAACAUGCCCCCCACCCCCACCGCCCACAAAUAAGACAUCACCAUAACACAUAUUUCUGUUAUCCCAAAAGGUUUCUUCAUGUCCUUUUGUAGUCCAUUCUCUAACCUCUCUCCACCUUGUCUCCAGGUAACAACUAAUAGGCUUUCCUCGGUUUGAAUUUUCUAAAAGCAUAGAAUAUUUACAUUUGCCUGGCUCUUCUCACUCAGCAUGGCUUUGAAGUUCAUUCAUAUUGCCACAUUUAUCAAAAGUUCAUCUCUUUUUGUUGCUAAUCAGCAUUCCCUUGGAUAAACUGUUUAUCCAUCACAUGUUCAUGGACAGUCAGGUUGUUUCCAGUGUUUGGUUGUUACAUGUAAAGCUAUUAGAAAUACCCAUUCUUGGCUGGGCACGGUGGCCUGUAAUCCCAGCACUUUGGGAGGCCGAGGUGGGUGGAUCACGAGGUCAGGAGAUCGAAACCAUCCUGGCUAACACGGUGAAACCCCGUCUCUACCAAAUAUACAAAAAAUUAGCCAGGCGCGGUGGUGGACACCUGUAAUCCCAGCUACUCGAGAGGCUGAGGCAGGAGAAUGGCAUGAACCUGGGAGGCGGAGCUUGCAGUGAGCCGAGAUCGUGCCACUGCACUCCAGCCUAGGUGACGGAGACUCCGUCUCAAAAAAAAAAAAAAAAAAAAAAGAAAUACCCAUUCUUGUGUGAAGUACGUUUCUUUUUUAUUUUCUUGGGUAAAUACCUAGGAGUGGAAUGGCUGGGUUAUCUAGCAAUUAUAUGUUUAAAUUUUGAAAAAAGUCCCUAAUUGUGUGUCAAAUUGAUUAUUGCAUUUUACAUUCUUACCAGCACUGUCUGAGGGUGCUAGAUAGUUCCAUAUACUCAGAAACACUUGUCUGGUCAGAAAAGACGAACUCAUGCAAUAUUUAAUUAUCUUCUAGUAUUAUCUUGAAUUUAUUUGGAGAAAAUUUUCACUUUUACUUCCAAAAUAUUAUUAUGAACAUUUUCAGACACAAAAGUUGAAAAAUUGUACCACGAACCCCCAUAUAUAUAUAUAUGGGUCUAGUCAUCACUAAAUUUUAAAGGAUAAAGGUUAUACACACACACACACACACACACACACACACAAACACAGACAUACAACAAAGAAUAACAUAGAUCGCAGGUACAAAUUGUCACUCCAUAACAAUUAUUUUCUUCUAGGAAUUUUCACUUACAUCUGAUUUUUUAUUAGAUUAAUCAAAUUAAAUCUAGAAAGGAAUUUAUAUAUCAUAUAGUUCUCAACAUCCUCAUUUUCUUUAUUAUACACAUAAGGAAACUGUGGCCAAAUUAAAAUGAUUCGCUCAAGGCAUCAGAAAAAAAUUAAGAAGUGAACUAGAUUUUGUGAUUUCUAGAUCAAAUUUCUGUGCACAAAUCUAUAUUUCCUCAUAUAAUUAACAAUGAUUUAUAUUUUAAAUGAACAUUACACAUUCUUACUACUGAAUUGUAAAAUUACUUUGAAGUUUUUUUACGUGCCUACAAUUCUGUAUUAUAUACAAAAUCAUGCACUUUUAAUAUUGGAAAGAACCUUACUAUCAUAUAAAUUCUAGUUCAACCCUCAGGUCCAUUUAAAAUCUGUCUCUAAAGUGAGUAAAUCAGUGCUUUGAAAUAACGUUUAAUGUAAUUCAGUUAUUUGGAUUUUAUGUAUUUGGAGGGAAACUUCGAGUUUGUAAUUCUGUUUUUUGCUCUCCUUUUGUCUCCUUGUGCCCAUUUUGGGGACACAUCUUCAUGUCACAAACUCCAUCAGGGAAAUUUUCAAGUGAAGAAACAGGAAGUGGAACUCAGAGAAGUCCAAUUUUAUUUGUUAAUAAGUAGGAGGUUGAAAGCAAUGGUUAAAAUUGGAUUUUUAAACUAUCAGUAGAUGUAAUUUAUUCCAUCAUGCUGGUUCCCUAUUUGCCUUCUCUUUAUUGCAGGUAAUUGAGAAUUAGUCACAUUUGUUAUUUUUAGCACUGCCUGAUUUUGUCUGGAAAUGGAAGUGAAACUAUAAAAACAGAACAAAACCCGCACAAAGAAGACUCUCAGGAAAUGCUGGCUGAAUGACAGAAUGAACAUUGAUAAAUGAAGACUUCUUCAAAUAACUGAUGCUAGACAUCUCUAAAUAUAUCAGAAAUAACAUGUGACCAUGACAUCAUUCAUCAUUUUUCCAUCAAAACAUUUGAAAAUAACUUGGAUUCAUUUAUUAGAGCUUUAUUUUCCCACAUCUUGCAGUACCCUAGAGUUCUACAGUAAUUAACCUUAUGCUGAAUGGCAGAGGACAUGCACUAAGCUCCUAUUUAAAAUCUAUUCAUGAUGCAUUUUAAAUAUUCAGUAGAGACUUCUUAAACAUGCAGCCAUAGUCUAUUGAAAAUGGAUUUCCUAAAGCCAGGAGAUUGGAUAUUAAUAUCUGGCAUUCGUAUAAAGACAGGUUUUUGUUAACCUAUUAUAAAAAGGACUGAUGAUGUGAUUAUAUACUGUUUACUAGCUCACUUAUAUUUCUGUGCUAAUAAUUACUGUAACCCAUUUGUUUAGUUUUUUUAUUUUAUUUUCA